GAUGAACGCUGGCGGCGUGCCUAAUACAUGCAAGUCGAGCGAACGGACGAGAAGCUUGCUUCUCUGAUGUUAGCGGCGGACGGGUGAGUAACACGUGGAUAACCUACCUAUAAGACUGGGAUAACUUCGGGAAACCGCAGCUAAUACCGGAUAAUAUUUUGAACCGCAUGGUUCAAAAGUGAAAGACGGUCUUGCUGUCACUUAUAGAUGGAUCCGCGCUGCAUUAGCUAGUUGGUAAGGUAACGGCUUACCAAGGCAACGAUGCAUAGCCGACCUGAGAGGGUGAUCGGCCACACUGGAACUGAGACACGGUCCAGACUCCUACGGGAGGCAGCAGUAGGGAAUCUUCCGCAAUGGGCGAAAGCCUGACGGAGCAACGCCGCGUGAGUGAUGAAGGUCCUCGGAUCGUAAAACUCUGUUAUUAGGGAAGAACAUAUGUGUAAGUAACUGUGCACAUCUUGACGGUACCUAAUCAGAAAGCCACGGCUAACUACGUG
rnacentral:rRNA from 1 species